CUUCUUUGAAACCACUCAUGAUAGAAGGGCUUCAUAUUUGCAGCAGCACUACUACAGUUGGCAGGAAUGUUGCUGCAGGAAAACAUCCCUGGAGAUCACCAUCAUUGUCAGACUGACUGUGCCUCCUCUGUGCAGUGUCAAGAUCCUCCCUAAAUGAGUGUUCCUCAGCUAUCCUGCUUCUGUGCUGCUUGCCACACAUCAAACACUGGCCGGAUGACAGGGAGGAUCC